CAAAAGACUCUGGCGCCGGAUACAGACCUGCUGGAAAGCAUCUGUGAGAGCGACCAUUCGGUUCCGCACAUGCUGGGAGGGACCGGGUUCCGGCUGCCGACGGAGGUCCUCUCGCGCUAUACGGGGACGUACGAGAUGG
rnacentral:misc_RNA from 1 species